GUCUACGGCCAUGCUACCCUGAACGAGCCCGAUCCCAUGUGAUCUUGGGAACUAAGCAGAGUCAGACCUGGUUAGUACUUGGAUGGGAGACCACCUAGGAAGACCAGGUACUGUAGGUA
rnacentral:rRNA from 1 species